GAUGAACGCUAGCGACAGGCUUAACACAUGCAAGUCGAGGGGCAUCAAGGAUGUAGCAAUACAUCUGUUGGCGACCGGCGCACGGGUGAGUAACGCGUAUGCAACCUACCUACCAGAGGGGAAUAACCCGGCGAAAGUCGGACUAAUACCGCAUAAAACAGGGGUCUCGCAUGAGACUAUUUGUUAAAGAUUUAUUGCUGGUAGAUGGGCAUGCGUUCCAUUAGUUAGUUGGUAAGGUAACGGCUUACCAAGGCGUCGAUGGAUAGGGGUUCUGAGAGGAAGGUCCCCCACACUGGUACUGAGACACGGACCAGACUCCUACGGGAGGCAGCAGUGAGGAAUAUUGGUCAAUGGGCGAGAGCCUGAACCAGCCAAGUCGCGUGAAGGAUGACGGAUCUAUGGUUUGUAAACUUCUUUUAUACGGGAAUAAAGUGUGGCACGUGUGCCAUUUUGUAUGUACCGUAAUGAAUAAGCAUCGGCUAACUCCGUGCCAGCAGCCGCGGUAAUACGGAGGAUGCGAGCGUUAUCCGGAUUUAUUGGGUUUAAAGGGUGCGUAGGUUGUAGAUUAAGUCAGCGGUGAAAGUUUGUCGCUUAACGAUAAAAUUGCCGUUGAAACUGGUUUACUUGAGUAUAGUUGAAGUAGGCGGAAUGCGUGGUGUAGCGGUGAAAUGCAUAGAUAUCACGCAGAACUCCGAUUGCGAAGGCAGCUUACUAAGUUAUAACUGACACUGAAGCACGAAAGCGUGGGUAUCAAACAGGAUUAGAUACCCUGGUAGUCCACGCAGUAAACGAUGAUUACUAGCUGUUUGCGAUAUAGCGUAAGUGGCACAGCGAAAGCGUUAAGUAAUCCACCUGGGGAGUACGCCGGCAACGGUG
rnacentral:rRNA from 1 species